rnacentral:rRNA from 1 species
UACGUAGGGUGCAAGCGUUGUCCGGAAUUAUUGGGCGUAAAGAGCUCGUAGGCGGUCUGUCGCGUCGGCUGUGAAAACCUGGGCUUACUCCGGGCCUGCAGCCGAUACGGGCAGACUAGAGUUCGGCAGGGGAGACUGGAAUCCCUGGUGUAGCGGUGAAAUGCGCAGAUAUCGGGAAGAACACCCGUGGCGAAGGCGGCUCUCUGGGACGGUACUGACGCUGAGACGGCGGAAACGUGGGGAGCGAACGAGGA